rnacentral:rRNA from 1 species
GACGAACGCUGGCGGCGUGCCUAACACAUGCAAGUCGAGCGGAGCUAGUAGCAAUAUUAGUUUAGCGGCGGACGGGUGAGUAACGCGUGGGCAACCUGCCUUCUACAGGGGGAUAACACAGGGAAACUUGUGCUAAUACCGCAUAACAUACUUCAGGGACAUCCCUUGGGUAUCAAAGGAGCAAUCCGGUAGAAGAUGGGCCCGCGUCCGAUUAGCUAGUUGGAGGUGUAACGGACCACCAAGGCGACGAUCGGUAGCCGAACUGAGAGGUUGAUCGGCCACAUUGGGACUGAGACACGGCCCAGACUCCUACGGGAGGCAGCAGUGGGGAAUAUUGCGCAAUGGGGGAAACCCUGACGCAGCAACGCCGCGUGAAGGAUGAAGGUCUUCGGAUUGUAAACUUCUUUAGUCGGGGACGAAGAAAUGACGGUACCCGAAGAAUAAGCCACGGCUAACUACGUGCCAGCAGCCGCAGUAA